AUUGAACGCUGGCGGCAGGCCUAACACAUGCAAGUCGAACGAGUGGCGGACGGGUGAGUAAUGUCUGGGAAACUGCCCGAUGGAGGGGGAUAACUACUGGAAACGGUAGCUAAUACCGCAUACCAUCAGAUGUGCCCAGAUGGGAUUAGCUGGUAGGUGGGGUAACGGCUCACCUAGGCCACGAUGCCUAGCUGGCCUGAGAGGAUGACCGGCCACACUGGAACUGAGACACGGCCCAGACUCCUACGGGAGGCAGCAGUGGGGAAUAUUCGACAAUGGGCGAAAGCCUGACGCAGCAAUGCCGCGUGUAUGAAGAAGGCCUUCGGGUCGUAAAGCACUUUUAUUGAGGAGGCGUUACUUGCCGAGGAAGCACCGGCUAACUCCGUGCCAGCAGCCGCGGUAAUUC
rnacentral:rRNA from 1 species